AUUGAACGCUGGCGGCAUGCUUUACACAUGCAGGUCGAACGGCAGCGCGGGCUUCGGCCUGGCGGCGAGUGGCGAACGGGUGAGUAAUGCAUCGGAACGUGCCCAGUAGUGGGGGAUAGCCCGGCGAAAGCCGGAUUAAUACCGCAUACGACCUGAGGGUGAAAGCGGGGGACCGAAAGGCCUCGCGCUAUUGGAGCGGCCGAUGUCGGAUUAGCUAGUUGGUGGGGUAAAGGCUUACCAAGGCGACGAUCCGUAGCUGGUCUGAGAGGACGACCAGCCACACUGGGACUGAGACACGGCCCAGACUCCUACGGGAGGCAGCAGUGGGGAAUUUUGGACAAUGGGGGCAACCCUGAUCCAGCCGUGCCGCGUGCGAGAAGAAGGCCUUCGGGUUGUAAACCGCUUUUGUUCGGGAAGAAAUCCUCUGGGCUAAUACCCCGGGGGGAUGACGGUACCGGAAGAAUAAGCACCGGCUAACUACGUG
rnacentral:rRNA from 1 species